rnacentral:rRNA from 1 species
GGUGAACGCUGGCGGCGUGCCAAAUACAUGCAAGUCGAGCGAACAGACGAGGAGCUUGCUCCUCUGACGUUAGCGGCGGACGGGUGAGUAACACGUGGAUAACCUACCUAUAAGACUGGGAUAACUUCGGGAAACCGGAGCUAAUACCGGAUAAUAUAUUGAACCGCAUGGUUCAAUAGUGAAAGACGGUUUUGCUGUCACUUAUAGAUGGAUCCGCGCCGCAUUAGCUAGUUGGUAAGGUAACGGCUUACCAAGGCAACGAUGCGUAGCCGACCUGAGAGGGUGAUCGGCCACACUGGAACUGAGACACGGUCCAGACUCCUACGGGAGGCAGCAGUAGGGAAUCUUCCGCAAUGGGCGAAAGCCUGACGGAGCAACGCCGCGUGAGUGAUGAAGGUCUUCGGAUCGUAAAACUCUGUUAUUAGGGAAGAACAAAUGUGUAAGUAACUAUGCACGUCUUGACGGUACCUAAUCAGAAAGCCACGGCUAACUACGUG